UUGAAACUUCAUUACCUUUUAGAAAUAAUCCAUUAAACAAGUUGCGAUUUGACAAGUGUUGCGCUAAUAUUUUCGGUUCCAUUCGUUUGUGUGUUGUCUCAAGGACCUGCCCACAACAGGGAACUAUAAUGAAUAUUCAUGGAUGCUCACCACCAACUGAAUAUUACACAACACUGGGUUAUGUGAAUUCAGACAGGUCAUGAUGAGCAUCUGAUUGUUUUCACAAACCAGUCUGUUUAGCUGCAGGAUGUCAGAGGAGCGAGGAAAGGACUCUCUAUCUGAGAUGAGUCUCUCAGAGGAACAGAGUGUAAGAUUAGGCUCACAUGUGUCCAGCUCUGUGUCUGUGAAGAGUGACCAGUCAAAGGAAGGCGAGCAAACCGGACUUAAGUGAGAACAAAAUCAUCAUCUACCGAAAGUGUAAGAUCAGGUUCACAUGUGUCCAGUUCUGUGUCUGUGAAGAGUGACCUUUCAAAGGGAGGCGAGCAACCGGACUUAAGUCAGAACAAAUCAUCAUCUCCCGAAAGGCUUCAGGGUGAGACGUUAGAUUCAGAUGUCCAGACUCACAAGAACAAGAAUUUGUUUGAGAAAGAUAAUUCCUAUGGAUCUUCAAGGAUCUUGAAAGCAAAAUAAUCACAUUUCUGAAGAAUGAACUGGAAAAGUUUAAGAAAAUAUUACAAAAGCAAGACAUACAAUACUUUGUUAAGGAUUUUAAUGAGAACAGAUGCAGUAUCAAAGAAGCAGCUCUUGA